rnacentral:rRNA from 1 species
UACGGAGGGGGUUAGCGUUGUUCGGAAUUACUGGGGCGUAAAGCGCGCGUAGGCGGACUAUUAAGUCAGGGGUGAAAUCCCCGGGGCUCAACCCCGGAACUGCCCUUGAUACUGGUAGUCUUGAGUUCGAGAGAGGUGAGUGGAAUUCCGAGUGUAGAGGUGAAAUUCGUAGAUAUUCGGAGGAACACCAGUGGCGAAGGCGGCUCACUGGCUCGAUACUGACGCUGAGGUGCGAAAGUGUGGGGAGCAAACAGGAUUAGAUACCCCCGUAGUCCCUGAGCGGG